CGGACGGGUGAGUAACGCGUGGGUAACCUGCCUCAUACAGGGGGAUAACAGUUAGAAAUGACUGCUAAUACCGCAUAAGCGCACAGUGCUGCAUGGCACAGUGUGAAAAACUCCGGUGGUAUGAGGUGGACCCGCGUCUGAUUAGGUAGUUGGUGGGGUAACGGCCUACCAAGCCGACGAUCAGUAGCCGACCUGAGAGGGUGACCGGCCACAUUGGGACUGAGACACGGCCCAA
rnacentral:rRNA from 1 species